UUCCAACUGUUCCAAUGAGAAGAUGGAAGUUCACAGAUAUUAAGUAAUUUGCCCAAGGUCGCACAACAAAUAGUUGAUAAACCCAAGAUGUGAACCAGGCUUAUGACUCCAGAGGCCAAGAUUCUUCAGCAUACACUGCAGCCUCCGAAGGAACUAAGAAGCUGCAAGAGAAACUAGUAUUACUUUAUUCAGGAGAAAGUCUUUCACCCAUUUGCUUGAAAAUGUUCAGGAAAAACAGUGAAGAACAGCUUGGAUGUCUAGUGAAAUAAGAAACCUUCAAACAUCCUGGGGAGAACCUUUGCUUCAGAUUCUCAAUACUGAAGUUCAAGAUCAAGUGGGAUUUUGUACAGAAUGAAGAGUGCUUCUCCUCACCCCUGCUGUCAACUGCCUGCCAUUCCUGCAGGAAAACAGGGCUUUGCUAUACUUGCCCUUGUCCAAACUUAUCAGUUGCUGGUUGUCCAUUGGGAUAUAACAGACUCCCAACAGUCAUCACUCAGGGAGGUACAUUCCAGCCUAAGUGCCUUAGUUUGGAAUUUCUGGUUGUGGCAGAUUGUGUUUUCAAAAGAUGGCUGCCACAACACUUCCCAGUAGGUGCUUUUCUGUAAUGUGACCUUGCCACUCCCCCAUCAGGACAUACAGUCUCUAUCUCUACCUCUUUGACUCUGAUCAGAAUGGGCAAUUGCUUUGAACAACAGAACAGAACUGAACUGAUGUUGUGCCAGUUCUGGGAGGAGACUCAUUAGCCUCUGGGUUCUCACUUCUGCUUCUUGGAAGCAGCCACCUUGUACCAAGAACAGCUACCCUAAGAUCAUCAAUGUGAAGAAGCUCAAGCUAGCCACUUGGAAAAGGUGCAGAGAGAGAGCACAGUGCCAGCCAACUCCCCCCAACUCUCGACAUCCCAGCUCAGGCACCAGACACAUGAGUGGAGACAUUCUAGCCCCUGUAGAUACCAAAUAUGGGAGAACCAAGGCCCCAGAAUAGUAACCCCCAAUUGAACUGUGUCAGGCACCUCCGGGCAUUCAAGUCAACCCAAUUGAACCUUCCAACUCUGUGGAGCCAAGGGGAGCCAUCCCCACGGUUCCCUGUCUGAAUUCCUGACCUACACAACUAGGAGCAUAAGGAAGUGGUAGCCAUUUUCCAUCACUGAGUUUUGAGGAACUUGGUUACAAAGCAGUAGAUAAUUGGACCAGUUGCUGUCAUAAUAUUUGCAUCCUUCUUGUGGAAGUCUAAGGGUUAAGAAUCCAGGUGGGGGAGUUCCCACUAUGGCUCAGUGGUUAAUGAACCCGGCUAAUAUCCAUGAGGACAUGGGUUCAAUCCCUGGCCUCGCUCAGUGGGUUAAGGAUCUGGCGUCAAACUGUGGGGUAGAUGCUGCUUGGAUCCCAUGUUGUUGUGGCUGUGGUGUAGGCCACCAGCUACAGUUCUGAUUCGACCCCUAGCCUGAGAACCUCCAUAUGCUGAGGGUGCGGCCCUAAAAAGACAAAAAACAAACCACGUAGGAAACAAGAUUUCAAUGACCUCUUGAUUGUGGCAUCUAUGGAAAGUCAACUUUUAUAAAGCAAGUAUACCACAAAUAUUUUGGGUGGAUUUAGACUCUUAAGUUCAUAAUUAGAGCACCCAUUUAUUAAUGUGUCAGAAACAAUGGCAUUGGCACAAACCACUCAACAAAACCUUGCUGCAGUAAGAGUCCAGAAUUUCCACAGAGCUCUUAUAACAUUGGGGUUACCACUUGUCCUAAUUAAAAGCUUCUUAAAGGAUUCUUUCAAGGGUAAUCCACCAACACCCUUAAUUGCGGUAGGACACUUAGGCAGUGUUAGCGAUUUUGUUUGAUGCAUAUGACUACACGCUUACCUACAAGCUAGAAAGAAUAGGACCAGUCAUUGUCACUCUGGAUUACAUGUCUGUUACUGUUUAUCCCAGAUUAAUAAUAAAAAUAGCUAACAAUUAUAUGGUGCUUCCUAUGUGUCAUGUACUGUGGUAAGCACUUCAUGUAUACGCAUUCAUUUAAUCCAUGCAGAAACCCUAUGGGGUAGAUACUUCUGUUACCCUAACUCCAUGGAUCAAGAACCAUCCGCAAAGAAUGGAAGCAGUAUGCUCAGGAGUCUUGGUGACUUGGUGUUAAAUCCUCAAGCCAGGAUUCAAAUCCAGGCAAUCUGGUUCCAGAGUCUGUGCUCUUAACCACUACACCAAAGGCCCUUUUCACUCUUCUUCAAAGAGUUAGUGAUCAACUUGUUAUUACAGCCACACAUUAUGAAUCACUGACUUGAAGAUGCUGACUCUUUUAGUGGUUGAGAAUGAAUUUGAUAUUGAAAAGACUGCAAAAGUACAUCACAUGCUUCACUUCUCCCAACAACCUACAGAGGACACUUACCUUUGUCAAGACCUCCAUUGGUCUUCCUUACAGGGAGGGCAUUUUGCUUGCCUGAGACACUUCCUCAGAAUGGUCCAAAGUGCUCCUUAAACGCUUUGAUUCCUAAGUGCUCAGAUUCCUCACUCAUUUUCCCCCAAAAGAAUGAGUCUCUUCUAGGACAAAAUUUAAUACUACCACUGUAAUUGAGAGCCUUGUGUAACCUAAAAGUGAUCUCUAGGAAUUCCUAUUGUGGCUCAGCAGUAAUGAACCAGACUAGGAUCCGUGAGUAUGUAGGUUUGAUCCCUGGCCUCACUCAGUGGGUUAAGGAUCUGGCAUUGCCAUGAGCUGUGGUGUAGGUCGCAGAUGGGGCUCGGAUCCUGCAUUGCUAUGGCUGUGGCAUAGGCCAGCAGCUGCAGCUCCCAUUUGACCCUUAGCCUGGGAACUUCCCUAUGCCACAGGUACAAUCCUAAAAAGGGAAAGGAAAAAAAAAAUAGAGGAUCCAUUUGGAAUUGAUUCCACUUUAUUUAUUUUUAAAUUAGGAUAGGUUCCAAGUUCCUCUAGUAAUAAGUUCACUGGUUCCUUCGCAUAGUGCUCAGCUUUCUUACAUAGGAAAGAAAAGAGCUGGCAUUAGAACUACCCUGCCAGGAUUUGUGCCCUUCACUAUCUCUCCCACAGGUUGGGUCCCUCACAUAAAUGGCAUCCUCCUCUGUGAAGACUGUGGUGGGGAAAAAAACAAGCAUGGCAAACUGCUGCCAUAAUACGUACUAUACUGUCAUUAAUUUCCUAUGGAUAUAAAUGAGCAUAGGUAUAUCACCUUGUUGCUAAUUCAUGUGAAAUAGCAAUAGCUGAUAUUAAUUUUACAAAGCAACAUGAUAAACACAAUUUAUAUAUAUAUUUUUUUUUUCUUCUACUCACUGGAAUGGAAUCAGUUCAUUAUCUGUUGAUUUUUUUUUUUAAUUGCCAAGUUCUACCCUUGAUUUUUGUCUCCUCCAAAUAAGGAAGUGAGAGCUCAGCGUGUGAGAUCUCCAACAGUGGAAAUUAGAACCUGCCAGGACCCUGUCUUGCCCAAGUGUGCACUCUCCAGUAAACAGCCCCCCCCCCGCCCCCGAGAUCACUGCAGAUGUCAGAUCUCCAAAGGCAAGAGAAGGGCCAACUAAAAAUAGACAGUUUGAGGAAAAUGCCCUGGUUAAUCAGAUAACUGCUAUUGGAAACAUGCAGAUACUAAAACAUUUUAAAAGGUAGAAACACAACCAUUCACAGGGAAACCUUAAUGAUUUUAUUCACGUUGUAUUUGUUAAAGUGGAACUUCAAAAUCAUUUAUCUAUUGGGCCUUCAAUUAUAAACAAAAUUAGAUAUGUACGGUGUUUUCCACUCACUUUAGAAAUGUGACUAACCAGAGUUUAGAAAACGUGUUACAUGUAGUUAGCUGUUCUUGCUGAUUCAAAAUAAAGUCAUUAACGUCUAAGCAUUUAUCCCAUUUAUUCUAAAAUUAGAUUGUGGGCAUGAUUGCUUAGCUCUGUAAACAGCCUAAUGUUCUUGGAAUUAUAUAUCUAACAAGUAAAUGUAUGCUACGUAAACUAUAUCUCAGUAAUACAGUUAAAAAUAAAAAAUGAUCAAAUAAUCUAAUAAAAUAUGUUCUCAGACUAUAUCUUAAUAUGGAUUGACAACUGUGGAAUAUGUAACCAUGUGGCAUGUGGGUCUCUGUUUGUGUAAGGGACAGCCUGUCUGUCAUUGUCAAUGGUGGGAGCAUACACAGAGCACUCACAAGCUAGGAACCAAGCACCAGGAAGUAGGUGAUUGACUUGAGGACCGUGACAGAGGAAGUAAGGAAAAUGCACAGAGGGUUGGGAAAGUUCUAACGGGACUAAUGUUAAUAUUCACCGGUGAAAUUGGCCUAUAGUUUUCUUUUUUUGUGGAGUCUUUGUCUGGUUUUGGUACCAGGGUGAUGGUGGCCUCAUAGAAUGAGUUGGGGAGUAUCCCUUCCUCUGCAAUUUUUUGAAAUAGUUUCAGAAGGAGAGGUGUUAGCUCUUCUCUAAAUGAUAGAAUUCGCCUGUGAAGCCAUCUGGUCCUGGACUUUUGUUUGUUGGAAGUUUUUAAAUCACCAUUUCAAUUUCAGUUCUUGUGAUGUGUCCAUUCAUCUUUUCUAUUUCAUCUUGGUUUAGUCUUGGAAGAUUGUACUUUUCUAAGAAUUUGUCCAUUUCUUCUAGGUUUUCCAUUUUAUUGGCAUAUAUGAGCCAUUGUUUGUUUGGUAGCAUGUUGUUUUGUCUCCACGUGUUUGUGUUUUUUGCACUUUUCUUCUUGUUGUUGAUUUCCAGUCGUAUAGUGUUGUGGUCGGAAAAGAUGCUUGAUAUGAUUUUAAUUUUCUUAAAGUUACUGAGGUUGGAUUUGUAGCCCAGGAUAUGAUCAAUCUUAGAGAAUGUUCCAUGUGCACUUGAGAAGAAUGUGUAUUCUGUUGCUUUUGGAUGAAAUGUCCUAUAAAUAUCCCGUCACUGUCUUGAAUCCUCUCAGAAACCAGGCUUCGAUUGACUUCUUCAGUCAAGAUCACAGACACAGUGUUACUCCAGCCAUAGCUAGAAUUGAUGCUUUCUGCAAAAGUAUGUUUUCUCUGUGGGUGUUCUGUUCUCCUACCUCCGAGAACUCAACUGUUUUAUAAAUCACUAACCCCUUUAAGUUUAUCCUAAUCAACUCCAUGGAAAAAAUUAAAGAACAAAAUAUUGAGACUAAAAAUAAACUUACUUAUUCAUGAUUUUACUACAGUUCGCCAUCUUUACAAAUCUAUACUAGUAUUUCCAACAUGCUUGAGUUGGAGAAAGUACUGCAGCUAAAGAAAAGCAAUGCUGUGGUUCUGAAGGCCAUCAGACCAGUCCAAGCACUGUAUUCCCAAGAAAGGGAAAAUGCUCCUAUGCUUUGUCAUGUGUUAAUUAGGAGCUAAGGGCUCUUUCAAAUUUUUGCUUGGUGGCCCAGGCAUCUAAGUGAUUACCGCCUGGAUUUGAUGAGUCAGAGUCUAAAUAUUAAACAUGUCCCCUCAGGCAGUGUCUGAUUGUCAGAUCUGCCCUUUUGUGGCUAGAGACUCUACCCAUUUGGGAGGCUCACAUCCCCAGGCUCUUAUCCACCCUGCCAGCCCUCCUCUUUAAGGGAUUAUCCUCCACAGAGGUAGCCUCUGUCCUGGAACACCAGGGAAAUCUGCAAAUGUAUGAGCCAUGGAGAGAUUCUUAGGGACUGGGUGGGGGUGGGUGGUGACUGGGGCCAUGGGGAGGUGACCUGAUGGUUUGUCUCCAUUUCUCCUCCAGACUGCUUCUCCAUCUUCCUCCAUCCCACUCUCCACCCAGGAGCCCAAAUGCAUGGAUUGCACAACAGACUGACCCGCCCUCUUACUUCCGGUUUGAUUUGGCCAAUAGCAGAAAUUGGCAAGACACAGGAGGCCCAGAGGAGAGAGAGAUGGGAUCUUUAUUCCCCCAGCAACUCCUGGUCAUUCUCUCAUGGAAAAUGAGAAAUAGUCUAAUUAAUCACUAAUUACAAAUAUUAGUAAUGAAAUGACCAAGUAAAACAUUUUCACACAAUGAAACACUAUCUAGCAGUUAAAAGGGAAAAAGUAGACAGAUGUGUAUCAGAGUGAACACAUCUCAAAACACUUGUUGGAUGAAAAAAGCAAAUUCCAUAAUGGCACACUGUGCCGUUUAUGAAAAACAAAAUCCACAGAUAAUACGGUGUGUUUUGUGUUGUUUUUAAACAAACAUCUAUUUAGUAUUUAUUAUGAGCAAGGCACUACACCAAGCACUUAGCAAAUAUUAACUCAUUUAUUUUUCAGAGCAGGUCCCCGAGGGAGGCUCUGAUAUUGCAGAUUUCCUACAAAUGAGGAACUUGAGGCCCAGAAGGUUUACUUGUACAGGGUCAUACAGCUCGUAGGAAACACUUGGAUGCAAAUCAAGGUGGCCAGACACCACAGUCUCUGCUCCUAACCGUACUGCCUCCUAUGACUCUGGAGAAGCCAGAUGUUGGCCCCAGGAUUGGGAAAUGCCUAAAAAAAAAAAAAAAAAA
rnacentral:lncRNA from 1 species